UACGGAGGGUGCAAGCGUUAUCCGGAUUCACUGGGUUUAAAGGGUGCGUAGGCGGGCCGGUAAGUCAGUGGUGAAAUCUUCGAGCUUAACUCGGAAACUGCCUUUGAUACUAUCUGUCUUGAAUAUGGUGGAGGUAAGCGGAAUAUGUCAUGUAGCGGUGAAAUGCUUAGAGAUGACAUAGAACACCUAUUGCGAAGGCAGCUUACUACGCCUAUAUUGACGCUGAGGCACGAAAGCGUGGGGAUCAAACAGG
rnacentral:rRNA from 1 species